UCCGGAUUUAUUGGGCGUAAAGCGAGCGCAGGCGGUUAGAUAAGUCUGAAGUUAAAGGCUGUGGCUUAACCAUAGUACGCUUUGGAAACUGUUUAACUUGAGUGCAGAAGGGGAGAGUGGAAUUCCAUGUGUAGCGGUGAAAUGCGUAGAUAUAUGGAGGAACACCGGUGGCGAAAGCGGCUCUCUGGUCUGUAACUGACGCUGAGGCUCGAAAGCGUGGGGAGCAAACAGGAUUAGAUACCCUGGUAGUCAAGGGCGAAUUCGC
rnacentral:rRNA from 1 species